GAAAUAUGUUGAAAAGUGAAAGCUGCUAACUUAUCACUCUAGCGGUUAAAUUCCGUUUAUAUUUCU
rnacentral:tRNA from 1 species